UUCUAGUUAUAUUAUUAUUAGAAAAUUGGAAGAGAAAAAAAAAGGAUUCACUAAACCUAGCUUACCCUAACCCACGUUGCAGCCCCACACCCCAAUUACCAUUGUCAAUUGCAAAAACAAAAAAAAAACCUAACAUCCCCUUCAAUCUCCCCCACGCAUGUUACGAUCUCCCCGCACAUCACGUCUUCACUAUCAGCAAAACUGUGUUCCCUUGACCCACUCCAAUCUCCAUCCUUCCAUAGUUGUGUCACCAACACAUUCAAGGGGUUGUUGCGACUGUAGCACCCAAGCAUGACGAAGAUGAUGCAUGCGCCACGCCGUAGUUGGGAGGUAUGUCUUAGAUGAAGAAGUUCCUUGGCGCAAAGAUCUGAUGUGGCUCGCAAUUUCCCUUGAUUUAGUGAGCAAUUGAGCAUUGUUUCGUAUGAUUUGGUGAGGAAUUGUUGCCUUGAAAUGUCUAGAACAUAUAGCUGCUCAAACCAUAUUGUUGCUGCGCAUGGAGGGAUACAAAGCCAGCUGUAGAUGAGGAAACAAGAAAGAUGCAAAUGGAUAUAUUUGGAGUUGAUCUUUCAAAGGUUUUCUGCUACUAGGUCUUUCGGAUAUUAUGAGGUUGUUGGGAGCAAUCCACUUGAUUCAUUAUAGUGGCUAAUUCAAGAAACUAAGUAGUAAGCUGGUGUCAGAUUCAGAUCGUUCAACUUAUCUUAUUGGUAGGCCUCCUUUGGUUGGUGGCUCGAUUGAUGUCUUUCAUUUGAUUCUAGUUAUCUGCAGCUAUAGGGAGUCUUAGGAGGAUUUAGAUUUGAGAUUGUUAUUUAUUGUUUUAUUGUAAAAGCUGCACUUGAGUGCUAAAAUUGAAAAUUUCCUUUUAAUGGAAGUAUGAAAAUGGAGAUCAUUAUUUGACAGGUUUUGUCAUUUGAGAUAUUGGUAAUACAGUUGAGAUCUUGUAUAUUUAUUUUUAUAAAUAUAGAGAAACAUAUGUAACUUUAGAGAAUAGUUUGGAAAAUGAUUUUUGUGAGAAUCAGGCUUGCCAGACUAGGGUGUUAGUCUGUGCGCUGGUCACGACUUAGGAUUUCGGGUCGUGACAUUCUUCACCAUCGCCUCCACCAUCUUCGCUACUGUCACCUUCGCUACCGCGAACUCCAGACCAUUCAGCCUCACCGGCGUCGUCGCCUCAGAUAACGGUUACUCAGGGUGAAUGAUGGGAGGUUAUGCGCAACAUAAGCGAUAUACAGCAGCGAAACGAGCAUUUGCAAGCGCAACUCGAUUUCUUUCGCCAAGAGCAGCAGGAUGACAAU